AACCUAGAAGAGACAAAAUUGAAAAAAAAAGUAACAAAUCUUUCUUUAAAAAAAAAAAGGGGGUUCCAAAUCAAAAGACUAUUGUUAUGGGCACAUGCAAAUAUUACAAGUUUUAGAAUUAAAUGUUGUAUUUCUUAAACUGUGUACUUUUGUCUUUAAGAGAUAUUGCAAACUGACAAGGUGUUAGAAAUGGAACAUAGUUUUUCAUAACUGUUUCUUUAAGCAUUAACCUCAGUGCAUAAUAUGUUUGCGCCAUUUUGUCCCAGACUAAUUACAAUAACAAUAAUGCAUAAACAAGCUUCAAGGCUAUGCUACGACUCUUUCAGUACACAAUAUACUGUGGUAACCUUAGUAGAUAAGGAUGUUCAGACUUUAAGAUGCCAUCUUGAACUAAGUCAGGAAAAGUUCCAUGACGUAUGCACCCUUUAGUUAUGGACUUGUAUUUUUGCAAAGUUAAGGGAGGUCCUAAAAUGAAUAAAGUAAAAGAAGUGUUACUUUUUCAUAUAUGAACUACGGUAACCCUAAAAUGGAGACACCUAAGGUAUAAAUUGGUGUACUUUUAAAUGUUACGAAACAGAGGAGAGACUUGGAGACAGACGCUGCUCCAUCUUAAAAUGACAGAGAGGCUGACAUGAUGACAUGUUCAGAAGGGUAUGUUAACCUAUUAAUGAUAUUUGCAAGCAUUUAGUUUAAUCUUAAACUCUG